AGGUAUAAUUGCUGCACCCCCAUGGAGCAUGGAGAGGCCAUCCACGAUAUGCCACCAGGCGCGCAAGGGCUGGGCGAGCGCCUCGUUCUCCUUCCACGCUUAGGCCACGUGUCGAUGCGAGAUUGGCUAAGCUAAAGGAGAAAAAGAAAAGAAUCGGAAGGAGAGGGGAAAAGGUGCCCACCACGAUCCAAACCCUACCCAUUCUGGCCUUCUCCUCUUCUCCCUCGCGCCUCCAUCCCAGCCGCCACCACGCGAGCCUCUCCUCCCCACGGCGCCGCUGGUCCUGCUCCGGCUCCUCCCGCAGGAGGAGAUGAACUGGAAGAUCGCCUCCCACUCCCGCGUCCCUCCCCCUUCCUCUCUCGCGGCGCACCUCCCACUUCCUCCCAAUCCCCUCCGCGGGAGCGCAGCUCGGGCGCGCGGAGCAGGGCCGCCGGUGGAGGCCGCAGCCCCCAAGGUAUGUCGGGCACGAGCGCCGCCUCCCGCCGUCUCCAUCGCCGGCCGGUAGCAGCACCGACCUUGGGCUCGAGCGCUGCCUCCAUUCGGCUCGGGCGCACGGAGCAGGGCCGCCGGUGGAGGCCGCCGCCCCCAAGGUAUGUUGGGCGCGAGUGCCGCCUCCUGCCGUCUCCAUCACCGGCCGGGCAGCAGCACCGACCUUGGGCUCGAGCGCCGCCUCGAUUCGUCACCAUGCCCGGCUGGGAGCAGCGCCAGUGAGCCCCACCUCCCCUUGUCGCCAUGGCUGGCCGGUAGUCGCGCCGGCCUUGGGAGCGAGCGGCGACGGGCGGCUGAGGUCCCCAUCACCGUCGCCAUCUUCCCCCAGUUCCAGUGAUCCAAAUCAAGCCCUCUGUAUGUUUGGAUCAGAGGAUCGAUGGGAUAUUCAACAUGGCUCACAACGAUUGUUCAGAAUCUAUGAUGAAUUAACCAGGUAUUUUGUGGGCUCGGUUGAUUCCUUAACCAGUCAAUAUUUGUCGCCUGAUGUGUUUGUAGCAGCCAACACGCUUCCCUUCCACUUCCCCAGGCUGCAAUAGAAGAUUAAUCCAUCAAGGAGGAGCAGCUUUGAAGCGCCUUGGCCUACCCUACUUGUUGUUCACUGGUGCGCUCCUGCAUGAGGUGCCUGCGGUGCAAGGUUCAGGCCACCAGACAUGUUGUUUACGGCUCGAUCCAUCGCAAUGGACCUCAAGGAAAACUUCUCGACCCACAGCAAGGUUCAGGCCACCAGACAUCUGCCAAUGGAUGUACAACGAGGUUGUACAACGACAAGAACUGAGAAGGUGAGGUGAGGCACCUGGCAUGAUGGAACAAACCGAAGCCGUUGCCGAGCUUCUUGAUAAUGCAAAUAACAAGAUUCUUCAGACAUGUUAUUUCUACCUGAGUACAUAUAAAUUUCAGUAUGCUCAUAAAUCAUUUGAAGCUCUAAGCUUGUGUGAGCUCCAAUGAAAUUGAUUGGCCGGCCAAAGGCCACAGUGGGCCUGUACAGCUAUGGAUGGAUGGCGACCGAGGCUGAAGCGGCACUGGAGAUGGAGGAUCUCCUCCAUAGCGCCAUUUCAUCGGGAUUUGGCGGCCGGCCAGAGGCCAUGAUGGCCCUGUACAGCGACGGGCAAGCGGCGGCCGAGGCUGGAGGCGACGCUGAAGAAGGAGGAUCUCCUCAACAACUUCGUUUCAUCCGAAUCAAGCUCAACUGCAAAGAAAAGGAGAAGACCCCGACCACUCUAGGAACUUAGCCUGGAAGCUCUAAGCUACUGAUUUAUGCUCAUCCUUUUUGUAUCCAGUCAAUGAAAGUAUAUAACUUAUUGGUCCAUGCCAAUAAGACAUUUGAAGCUCUAAGCUUGUUUGAGCUCCAAUGAAAUUUCUGCUGGUUGAUGCAAGUUUUGCCAAGAACACUGUCAGUUUAGCGGUUUUAAUUAUACAAGCAAUGGGCUCAUUUCUUGCUACUGGAGGUAAAAGUGAAAGGUAGUUCACUGUUAUUAUUGUCUGAAUUUUUUUGUUUGAACUGAUGUGUCUCGGUGACACAAAAUAUCACAUUUGACCUCUGAAAAACAGCACACAGUUUCCGUAAUGACCUUGGUUUGAAUUAACAGAAGUGUGCAACUACAUCAAUGUGUACAUGUUAUCUAAAUAAAGUGACAUGCUAUUAAGAUUUUGUCUCAGUCAGUUUGGAUGGAAGCCUAGACAUCUAGGUAAAUCUUAAUCUUGCAGAUGUUUCUGCUAUUGAGAUUACAGAUGUAGUCUAUUAUGCUUCCAGAAGCUUUAUUACUGUUUUUUUAGAGAAUGCUGCAAAUAGUUACUGUUUUGAUUCUCGAUUCUCUUGAAUAUGUAUGAGAUGUGACUAUAUAGGCACAUUAGUUAAGUAAUCCCAACAAGCGUGUAUCUCUCUUUUGUUCACUAAUUGUUUACUCUUGAUAUUUAGUCUGUUGUGUUGCUUUGUUGCUGCACCAUGAAAUUGAGUCAGGUGCUCACAAAUGGAGCCAUGAAAAGGUAACAUGAGUUAUAAUAUUUUCUAUUUUUUUAUCUCUAUUUGUGUUGGAUAACUUCAAAGAAAUUUCUUAACUAUUCUGCUGUUGUUUAUUGGUUGCGUUUAUAUGUGCUUUACGGGAAGAGAUGCCUCCUUUUCUGCUUGGAUCAUUAACCUACACCGCCUAGGUCAUACUUAGUUUAGCCGUUGUAUCUUGCGACCACCACUACCUCCUUCGUGAACUUGUGACUAUUGUGCUCGUCUGCCUCGCAAGCAUUGGAUUUGGUCACUAACAGAGAAAAUGGUAUACCCAUGUGGCCUACAAUUCUUGACUCUUUUCCUGGAGGAACAGCCGCGAGAAGAGCUCUUCAGUACCAGCAAGGAGAAGAUAUUUCCAGUGUUGGUUAUAAGUUUGAUUUGGUGUGAGAAAUUAACCACGGGUGUACAAACUCCCUAUUUGGAAAUUAUACUUGGAGAAGAGCAAAAUGCAAUCUUGAAGCCAUCAAAGGCGGUGCAUGGUGGAUUCUAGAGGUUUCACAAUGUUCCAUCAUACAGGAAGUUUGAACUUGACAUCAGAGGUUGCAGUGAUGAUUUGAGUGGAGUAUAUGGAACCAACUUUACUCCUAUGUACAAAAUACAAGGAGGAAAGGUGUCUCAAGGUUUCUGUCGGUAGGCUUCUCUACAGUUUGGGAUGUAUCACGACUUUCUCUCCACUGGCGGAGUAGCUGUAAUGCAUCUGCUUCUUUCUCCACAUCACUCCAGGCAGUGCCUACAGGUACCAUAUUUUAUCUUUGUAGUAUUGCGCAUGCCAUGAAAUGUAUCACGACUUCCUCUCCACUGGCGGAGUAGCUGUAAUGCAUCUGCUUCUUUCUCCACAUCACUCCAGGCAGUGGCUACAGGCCACCAUCAUGUGAUUGAAAGUGGAUUGGUCAGGAACAAGGAGUGCGGCCGUGCCUGGUGAUUAAAGGCUGCAUCAACGAUGUGGCUGGCUGGUUGUUGACUACUCCCUGGCGCAGAAGAUUUUUAUGGUGUCUUUAGGCCAUGGAUGUAUCAUUCAGUAUGUCCUUCUUUCUUGUGCUCUCCUCCGUUCAUUUUCUAGCGAUGGUGAGCUACAACUAGAGACUAACGUUAGUGGGAUAUGAGGUGUUUCCUCAGAAAUUCAUAAGGUACAAAUCAUUUAUGCUGGUGUUUGCUAUAGUCUUCUAUAUAUGAUAUCUCACAGCUGCUUGAAUCGAUUUUUCACAAUUAUCACGUCAUAUAGUUUUGGAUAUUAAAUCUAGCCCGACUAUUUUUCAUGUAUCCGAUGGAGUGAUGUACGAGAAUGUUUAUUUUUUAACUGAUCCAGCAUGUAUUUUCUACUUAGUGUAACUGGCUAACUAACUAUACUUUUCUUUUCUGCCACGCAAUAUAUACUAUUUAACUUUAGCUCGCAUCAGUCCAAAGACCUAGGUGUUUUUUCACUCUUCUUUCAUUUGUUCAUCUCCAGAUCCGGAAUUACAAAUUCGUCCAUGUGUUCGUGGUGACACAAUGUUAUGAAUUGUUCAGCCAAUUCUAGAGUUCAGCGUGCUCCAUUAUUCCGAAUUUUGUAGUGUCAGUAUUUGGCACAUAUUGGUCCAGUGCCUGUUGAAUGUGCAAUUCUAUUUGAACACAGAUGUCUUACAGAAUCAGGUCCCGUGAUGUUUCUUUCCCGGUCACAGUUGCUAGCCCCAGACCCAGCCAAUGAAGUUAGGCUGGCAUGCCAUCAUGAUCAAAACCUGAUCGUGAUGUAAUUGAGCUAGCUUCUCCUAUCUGUAAGCCCAAUUUCUGUGAUAUUCAUGAAGCGAAGGAACAGCUCUACCGAUGGUUGUCUGAAAGAAAUAGUUUUAUUGUUGUCGUGAGGAACUACGGAGAAAAUCUCCAUCGUACAUUGUCUGGGCCUCUUCGCACCAGCCCAGUACUAAGCAUUACCACAACAAGGAGUUCACAGCGCUGACGACGCAAGAGGUUCAGAUCUGCACGAAAUCAACCACAGCGGAAAAGAUCAUGAGAUCGACAUGAAGCAAGGAUAGAAAAAGGCAUGAAGAUCAAGGAGCAGCAGCAUAUGAUCGCGGCUGACCUAUAUUGUUAAAUAUUGGCAAGAAGCCGCACCUGGUGUUCACCCAAGAUGGCAAUGAAAUGAUGGUGAGGUAGAUGGUACCCUUCUAAGGCAGCCCUGAUGUGUAACAUGAUGUACCUGAUGACACGAGAUCUGCAUACUGGUGCCCAAUGCAACUAUCACAACCAAUAAAGAUUUCAGAUAUGCUUAUGUUCUGUCCCUUUUCACUAAGGAUAGAAUUGUCUGAUUUAAAUAAUGUAACAAAGAAACAAAUAACUGAUUCUCACAUUUGGGAGAUCCAAAAAUGUUCUACCUUAUAUAAGAACAAAAUUUGUUUCUUCCAGUAACUAAGUAUGAGAUUCAGUAGUUAUGGUGAUUUUUAA